rnacentral:rRNA from 1 species
GAUGAACGCUGGCGGCGUGCCUAAUACAUGCAAGUCGAGCGAACAGAUAAGGAGCUUGCUCCUUUGAAGUUAGCGGCGGACGGGUGAGUAACACGUGGGUAACCUACCUAUAAGACUGGGAUAACUUCGGGAAACCGGAGCUAAUACCGGAUAACAUUUAGAACCGCAUGGUUCUAAAGUGAAAGAUGGUUUUGCUAUCACUUAUAGAUGGACCCGCGCCGUAUUAGCUAGUUGGUAAGGUAACGGCUUACCAAGGCGACGAUACGUAGCCGACCUGAGAGGGUGAUCGGCCACACUGGAACUGAGACACGGUCCAGACUCCUACGGGAGGCAGCAGUAGGGAAUCUUCCGCAAUGGGCGAAAGCCUGACGGAGCAACGCCGCGUGAGUGAUGAAGGGUUUCGGCUCGUAAAACUCUGUUAUUAGGGAAGAACAAAUGAGUAAGUAACUGUGCACAUCUUGACGGUACCUAAUCAGAAAGCCACGGCUAACUACGUG